CUUUGGUCGAUCUCCCACAGAGGGGCAGCCAGGCGCCAGCUCGGGCAGGGUACGCACGGCGCGCACCAGCGACGAGCAGCUCGUGCCUCGACGGCUGGCGGCGAGUCUUCCAUCCAUGGCUGGAAAAUUGGCAAUGGAAGGUACCCCGCUCCUUCUUGACUCCUCCGCAGUUGCUUCCUCCAUCUCUUUUUCUGGGCACGGGCUGCGGUCGCCACCUUCCAGGGUUGCUCCUCAGCUGUUCGGUUAAAUGCCUGAAUGCACCACGCUGUUGCUAUCAACAGGGAAUGCAAUGUUUACGUGCACAGUGCUCCACGCCUCCACCUCCAUGGCUGUCAAGUUGAAUUUCUGGGCAUCAACAAUAUUAUUUUUGUGAAAAUAGAGAAAAGUACGUUUUAAUACUCCUUCGUCCAUGAAUCACCCAAAAGGGAACUCUUUGCUCUGGCCACAGAAGAAGAGAGAAAUAUUAUACUCCAUAAAAUGUGCAUUGCCAUAGUAGAGCCUGUAUAUCUCAGCCAUACUUGGAAAGGCUGGACUGCUCCUGCCUACUGAGUACUGACUUUGUGUUGCAAGGUACAUCGAAACACUGAACAGAGUUACAACAACGAGAGAACACAAGGAUGGACAGGGAUCUAGCGGCCACUAAGAAGCCGCAGAAAGAGAAGGGAGCAAAGCCGAAGUGAAGAUGUUCCUCCAAGCAUCGGUGGAGCUUCUGGCGGAGUCGUUGAGGCGGAAACUCCACAUUCUCCAGAAGCAAAGAAGGUAGAAGCAUUUGUACUGCUCCGAUGGAAUGCAGCUGGGCGGCUGGAUGAGGUUGAGAGCCUUCAUAGAGGGAAUGUUGGGGUUUGCAUGAGUUAGGUCCCAAAAGGCCUUUGCCACCGAGCAGUGAAGGAAAAGGUGCUCCGCAGUCUCUGGAGCAAUCUUGCAAAUCUCGCAGACAUCGGAGGGAGUGAUGUUUUUCUUUUUGAGAUUCACCCUCAUUGGCAGUCUGUCUUUCGCGAGUAACCAAGCAAAGAACUGAACCCGGGGAGGGGCCUUGUUUUUCCAAACGAAUUUCCAAUUCGAACAGCAGGUUGGUCUUGAGUUUAGGAUUCCAUAAAGCUUUGAGCAGGAGAAUGUAUUUUGAUUUGUUUGGAAGGUAAGUGAUCUGCUGUCUUGUUCUGCGCUCAGCUGGAAGUUUUGAAGCAGCGUAGAGAGAUGAGCCAAAUCUUGUGAAGCAGCUGCUGUGAGCCUAGGCUGCCACAGGUGAUCAUAUGAACUGAGCAUUUCUUUUACUGACACAGAAGGCUUCAGGCAGUGGGAGAACAGCGCCGGCAUUUUAGAAGCAAGAGGAAUGUCGGAGAUCCAAGUGUCGAACCAGAAAGAAGUUUUGUCUCCAGAUCCAACGCAGCAUUUUGUGUUAACUUGAUAUAGAGGCAGGAGUUUGGUUAGGCUACGGACGUGGGGUCCCAAUUUGAAUCAGGGAGCAACUUGUCUUGAGGAAUUUCAUUCCACAGCCAGAUGGUCCAAGGAGUAGAAGAGACGUGAAGCUUGUGCAGGUUUUCAACAGUAAACAGGAGUUUUGUUUAGCAAGGUCCUUAAUUCCUAGGCCACCGAAUUUUUUGUCAGUGCAGACUUCAUCCCAGGAUACCAAACAUUUUGAACCAGAGCACGAAUCAUCACCAGUCCAAAGGAAGGCUCUUCUUCUUUUGUCAAUCGCCGCAAAUACUCCUUUCGGGAGCUCCAUAGCCGCCAUUGCGUAGGUAGGGAGAGAUGAUAGAAUUGCAUUAAUGAGGAUGAUCCUGUCUGCGUAGUUCAGUAAGGAGGCCUGCCAGCUUGCAAGGAACCUGUCCACUCUUGAGAUCACAGGAGCAAAGGCAUCGAAGUUUAGCUUGGUUGUGGACAGCAGAAGUCCCAGAUAUGUCUGCGGGAAGUUUUCAAGUCUGCAUCCCAGCACAUUGGCAAGCUGGACUUGAUCUUCAGGGGGGACAUGAAUGCACACCAUGGUACUCUUGGAGUAGUUUAUCUCCAGUCCAGUUGCAGAAGAAAAAUCAUCAAGAAUCCGCUUGAUAAGGGCGACAUCCUGGGAGGAGGCUUUGCAGAUUAUUAAUGUGUCGUCCGCAUAUUGAAGUGUGGAGGGAGUCAUCUGCGGGUUGAGAGGAUGUCGUAGCUGGCUUUUCCGGAUGAGAGUUUGGAGCACAUCAGCUACAAUGAUAAACAGAUAAGGGGAUAGAGGAUCCCCCUGGCGAAGUCCUUGUUUGCAGGAGAUCCAAUUACCCGGCACACCAUUUAGGAUGAUAGAGGAUCUGGCAGAAGCGAGGAGCAUUUUGAUACAAGUGUUCCAAGAAUCAUUGAAUCCUCUGCAGUAUAGAAUUUUGUGUAAACUGUCCCACUGGACUGAGUCAAAAGCUUUGGCGAAGUCUAAUUUUAGGAUCACCGCAGGGGCUUUUCUCUUAUGACAGCACUGGACUAAUUCUGUUGCAUGAAUGAAGGUUUCAGAAAUAUGCCUCCCCUUGAGAAAACCUGUCUGGUCUAGCUGGAUAAUGGAGCUUAAUUCUUUCUGCAGUCUGAAACUGAGCACCUUUGAGAUUAUUUUAAGCGAGCAGUUCUGCAGGGCAAUCGGCCUGAAGUUGCAAGGUGCAGGUGCCUUUCCUUGCUUUUUGGAUGAGCACAAUGUAUGCCCUGUUGAUCUUGUCCAGGUCAAGGUUGUUGUAGUAGAAAUUAUGCAUCAGGUUGAGGACCUGAGGGAAAAUAAGAUUCCAGGCAGCCUGAUAGAAACUAGGGCCUAUUCCAUCCGGACCUGGGGCACUGUCCUUGUCCAUUUGCAUCACAGCCAGCUUUAUUUCUUCCAACUCGAAGAGCCCAGAGAUAUUAUCUGAAUUAAUCUGGGGGUGGCCUGAAUAUAACUCCAGAAGAUCAAAGUUCCAAUGAGUUGCUUUACUGGCUCCCAAAGAGUCAGAAAAUAAGUUGUACAGAAUCUGAGCUUUGGUUGAGUGAUCGUAUACAAAGUUGUUGUCCACCAGCAGCCCUCUGAUUGCAUUCUUUCUCAUCUUUACAGAGGCAUGAGCAUGGAAGAAUUUAGAGUUUGUUCCCAUGAAUUUGAUCCACUUGACUUUUGCUCUUUCUUUCCAGAAAAUCGAUUCUUGCUGAUUGAGAUCAGAAAGUUUAAGUUGUAAAAGAGAGCGUAAUUCCAUCAGAGCUGAGGAGCAGGUGCCGAAUUCCUCAAGGAAGUCAAUGUAAUCAAUUACAAAGUUACAAUCGUUUCUGCAAGCCUGGAUGAAUCUGUGAUCAUGUUUCCAGAUUUUUGCUCUCUGCCUUACCCUUUUGAGAUUCAGAUUGAGAUCGCCCGCCGCUUCGGUAUGUGGAUCUGGGAGGGACCAGCGCGAUAGAACGUAGGGAAGAAAGUCAGGAUUCAGCAGGGCCGAGUUGUCAAAUCUGAAGAUCUUGCUUUUAGGGAUUUUGGUUUGGAUGGAAAGAAGGAGCGGGACGUGAUCAGAGGUUGUUCUUGUUUGGGAAGUGAGGGAGCAAUUGGGGAGCAGAUCAUUCCAGGCUAAGUUGAAGAAGACUCUGUCGAUACGGGUAAGUGUGGGAUUAAGUCGCUUGUUGGACCAGGUGAAGAGUCUGUCUGAGAGUGUAAGUUCGAGCAGGGAGAGAUUCUCAAGAGUGUCGUUGAAAAGGGUGUAGUUGUGUUUGAAUGAGGCUAAUCGCUAUGGCGAAAAACCCAGUUUGUAGGUGUCAAAAUAAAUCACAGGUUUUACGAAUAUAAACGGUGCCAAAGCUGGGACAUGCUAGAACCUGGCAUAGGGAUUGCAGUCAUCUCAAGCAUCAAUAAUGUUGAUUUGAGAUGACACCAAGAGAUCAUAAUUGGAUAAAUCGUCAGAAGCUAAAUAGAUUACAAUGCAGGACUAAUGUGGUACAAUCACAAUAACUUUUACUCAUCUAAUAAGAUCAUAUGCACAUUCACUUGUUU